rnacentral:rRNA from 1 species
UACGUAGGGUCCGAGCGUUGUCCGGAAUUACUGGGCGUAAAGAGCUCGUAGGUGGUUUGUCGCGUUGUUCGUGAAAACUCACAGCUCAACUGUGGGCGUGCGGGCGAUACGGGCAGACUAGAGUACUGCAGGGGAGACUGGAAUUCCUGGUGUAGCGGUGGAAUGCGCAGAUAUCAGGGGGGAACACCCGGUGGGCGAAGGCGGGGUCUCUGGGCAGUAACUGACGCUGAGGAGCGAAAGCAUGGGGAGCGAACAGG